CGCGGGAGGGGGACGUGGGAAAUGGCCGCUCCUUUCCAUAUGUUCCUCACCCGCCUCCUCGCUACGCGCUGCCGUUUCCUGGCCGGCCCUGCCUCACUCCAUCAUACCCGCCGCAGGCGUGGGGAGCGACAGCGUUGCAACGUCGGGGAAGAGGGGAUGGUGGUAUAGGCCGCCAUCUUCUCCAUUUUUCGGGAGAACACGGGAGACAAAUGGGGAGAUAGUGGUGCCGUGUGUGGGUUAAUGCUUUCUCCCUUUCAGUAGUGUCUCUUUGUACUGUAACGGGAGAAAUGGUGAUAGAGCUCCGGAGGUUAUCACGUGGUGUUCCCUGUACUUGUGCUAAUGCAGUUCUUCCUCCUCACUUCCACUUCCCAGCCCUGAACUCUUAUUUAAUUAUAAGUCACCCGAUCACGUACCAUGUUUCCUGAGAGGCCACAGGCCAUGGUGCAUGUGUUUACAUCAGGGCAUUAGAUAAUGUCUGUAGGCAAAGCAGCUUUCAACAAUAAAGUACAAUCUGCCAAAAGGACACCAAUAGAAAGCAGCCCAUCUAGAUGUGCCAUAAAACAUGCUUAUUCAAGCUUAAAAGAACUAAUAGGUAAAUUGGGUUAGCAGUAAUAAUAAAGCCACACUAGUCGUAGCACAGCACACAAGUGAGUUCUCUUUAGAAGGAGAAUUUUGUUGUCAAAAGUAGUAGUGUUUCCUUUAGGGUGUUUAUGGCAUACCUGGGGCCAUUUUUAAAGUUGAUAUUAAUGUGAAUUGACUUUUGUUAGAAAUAGCAUUGCUAAUAAAAUUCUCAUUGCUGCAUCUUUGAUACUUGACAUCCUGUCAUCCAGAAAAUCUGGUGACAUAUUUCUGCUCACGAUGCAUGUGUUCAUAGCUUUUGGACAAAAAGUUACAUGUGCCUUAUAAAUCGUGUAUACAUGGUGGUUAAAUUCAUCGAUAAGCUGAGUAAUUUUCUUCAAGAAUUUUGCAUUUAUAUCUUUUUUGAGAACAGCAUUCUGUUGUGUUUAUAGAUUUGGGUCAUUCUUCCUUACUUAGUAAGUAUCUGAAAUCUACUUGUUUACCCUGAACUUCCUGUCUAAAGGUAGUGCCUAUGGUCUGAAUUUUUAAAAUUGUGGGAGUACUUAGGUCUUUCAUCAGUAGUUUAUUCUGGAAGCUGUGUUCCUUCCAGAUGCAUAAAAUUGUCUAGGUGAAUAUAUCUUCAGUGUUCGUAACUUUUUUGAAAGCCAGUACUGAUUUGAAUGAUUAAAUUCAAGGCCCUGAACUAAUGUUGGCAUGUAGCUGCGAUCUGACAGUUUUGGUAGAAAUAUGAGGAAACCAAAGUUUACCCAAAAAGUCUAAAUUGUGUUCCUCUUAGCUGUAAAAAUGUGUGUACACUACAGUACAUCAGCCUGUAGAAGAGAACAGGGCCAAAUAUUCAUGUAAUCAGAAGAAUCAAGUUGAAGGUGGAAGUUGAUCAUCAAAAGAUCUUGGCCAAUUGUGCUUUAAUACCAAGUGAACGUAGGCUCUAUGGCUUUGUAUUGUUGUGAAGAAUGGAACAGAGCAUGGUUUUCUUACGGUUACAAAGUAUUUUUGCCACAUAGCUGAUGUACCUUUAGUAUAUUUUGCUUAAGCUGUUCAUAUAGGUAGAUUUGCAUGCUUCCUUUUGUUCUUAAGUAGAUUUGCUCACAAAUUCUGCAUAUUAGAGAUGUGAGAAGAUCUGUCUCUGAUUCCCCUGGUAUCUGUUUAUGUUUUUAUAGUCCUUUGAAGCUUAUGACGAUGAACAAUCAUUCCUCAUUUGGGAUGCAGAGCUGUGUCCAUGAGGAGGCUUCUAGGAUUGUUUCUGCAACAACCACAGUGAGCAAAUAAGGCAGGGUGGUGCUAGCAGUUUUCUGCACUGAACUCCUGCCUCAGCAGAACUGGCCAGUUGGUGCCUACUUGUAGAUUCUAGUAUGCAUUUUUCAGGUUGCUCUGUACCUUUUUCUGGGUUGAAGUGUUCAGGAAAGAACUAAAGCAUUCAGGAUAUUAACUGUACUUUAUUUAACUUAUUUAUACUAGAGUGCAUUGUUCUACUUCUUGAAAGAGAAAGUUAAGUUGAGGAAACUGUUGGGAAGAGUGCCAGUCAUGGUUAAGCAGUUUGUCCAGAUGAUUUGCUAGUACUGUCUGGGAGGAGGUCAUACUUCUUCCUCUGAAAGUUCCCCCAGUGCUUCAUAUUUGAUGUUUUUGGGGUUCAAGCAUGGAGCUGGUAUGUUAAGAUGUAUAUGUAAUUAAAGUCAAGUACUUUCAGGGUUUUCAGGAUUUUAUUGUUGAACGAGGAAGGGAACUGACUAGGAUUAUUCUAAAGGCAUACUGGCAUAGCUGUUGGUGGGCAUGAACUUGCCUAGCUACUUUUUAAACUCACAUAAACUUGCAAUAUCCACAACAUGCUGCGGAAAGAAAUAUCGUAGUUUGCCAUCUCUGCUAUGAAGAAGUUUCUCUUUAGAUUGUUGUGAACUUAACACAUGCAAACUUUGAUGUAUGUUUUUCAUGUAGAAAGAAAAUGUCAUCAGUUAUUCUCUACUCAGUUUUGCCAUAAUUUUAUAGACCUGUGUUGUGACUCUUCCCCUGUCCUUUUUUCCCCUCAUCCUGAAGAACCCUCACUAUGGUGGUAAUAGUGUGUGUGAAAGCCUCUGUUUUUUUCCAGUGUGAACCACUGUACCAGAACAGAGUGCCAGGUAAUUUUGUUGUAUCUUUUUUAAGUUAAGCAAUGUUGAGGAGCAGUGCACCAUGGACUCUAGUGUCUUAUUUUUUUUGUAACAUCUCAACAACCGGUAUGAUCUAUUUAUGCCUGGAAAUGUUUCAAAGAACAUCUGAAGACCUUUUUCCAAAGAUGGAAAGUUCUGUUGAAGAGAUGGAUACCUCUGAUACUCAGUGGGGCUGGUUUUAUUUGGCUGAGUGUGGUAAAUGGCAUAUGUUUCAGACUGAUUCAAAUAGUCAUUGCUCAGUUAGCAGUGAAGAUAUUGAAAGGAGCUUCAGAACAAACCCAUAUGGUUCUGUUUCUUUUACUACUGCAAAAUUUAACUACACACUAGACUUUUCAGAGAUGAAACAAACCAACCUAACUACCCUUAAACAACGUCCAAUAAAGCGAGCUCCCUUUUCUAUCAGUGCUUUCAGUUUCAUCUGUGAAAAUGAGUCCAUCCCUAUGCCUUCACACUGGGAGAACGUAAAUCCUGAGGAGCCAUAUCAGCUUAUUCCUUUGCAAAAGAAAACAAAUGAAUACAAUGAAGUUUCUAAUCUCUUUGGAAAAACAAUGGAUAGCCACCGAAUAAAAAGAAUAAAGAGAAUACAAAAUCUAGACUUGUGGGAGUUUUUUUGCAGGAAGAAAGCCCAACUGAAGAAGAAGAGAGGUGUGACAACUAUUAAUGAGCAGAUGUUAUUUCAUGGCACCAGUAAUGAAUUUGUAGAAGCAAUAUGUAUUCAUAACUUUGACUGGAGAAUAAAUGGAAUGCAUGCUGCUGUAUAUGGAAAAGGGACCUACUUUGCAAGAGAUGCAUCAUAUUCCAGUCGUUUCUGCAAAGAGGAUAUGAAGCAUGGAGAUACUUUCCAAAUUCAUGGUGUGAAUCUGCAGCCUCAUCUGCACAAACCAGAUAAAGUCAUGUUUCUUGCUCGUGUAUUAACUGGCGACUAUAUCAAUGGUGAUUCGAAAUACAUGAGGCCUCCUUCAAGAGAUGGAAGUUUUGUGAACUUGUAUGACAGCUGUGUGGAUAAUACUUGGAAUCCAAAGAUAUUUGUUAUCUUUGACGCCAACCAAAUCUAUCCUGAGUACUUAAUAGAAUUCUGUUAAGUUUAAUGAAGCUGAACUGAAUAUUUGUGUCUUUUUGGUACUUUUUUUCCUUUCACGAAAACAACAGCAUGAAAGCCCAAACUGUGAAAGGACAGAGGUGAAAGAAAAGCUAGUAUACGUUUAUGAAGCUGUUAAACAUUUAAGAGAGAUUGUCCAUCUACUUUUAAAAAUUUGUAAACAAACUUCACUAAUGCCUUUUUACAAUGUAAGGGAGUAUUACGAGUCUGAAAUUGCUUAGUGAAUGCAUUAGUAAGUUUUUGUUCAAAGACGAGACUUAUGUUCUGAGUUCUUGAAAAUAUGUUGCAAGUAGUUAUGUGUGUGAUAAUAAUAUGCUUGUAAUACUGUAGCUCUGUGAUUAAACAAACCUUUUAUAAAGAUUGUUUGUAGGACUUAAAUCCAAACCUUCUCCUAUAUGUAUGUAUGUGUGUUUUGUAGUGCACAUUUCAAGAUGUACAGGACCUAAUGAUCAACAAAGCUGCUACAUUUAGCUUGAAGAUGAAUAUUUGAUCUCUGAUUCCAGCUGAGAACUGCAGGUCCUACAGUUGAAGCAUGGUUCAUGUUUGAUUCAUAAAUAUGCUAGCUGUGCACACUGUUUCCCACGCUGUGUAAAAUAGCACAUCAUAUAGAGAGUUUUUAGUUACAUUCGUUACAUUGAAUUUUAUUCUUAACCAGUAGUCUACGGCAUACGUCCUUCAUGAAACUAGCAGAAACUCAUGCUGUUGUCACUUUGAUUUGUUCUUUUAUUUCUUCUGAAGUUUGUACUGAUCUUUAACUAGGAAGCAAAGCUUUAUUUUUUUUUAUUUUUUUCUUUUUUUAAGGGUCUCAUAGUCACAAAAUAUCAGCUGAUCAACUGAAGUAUCUUUUCCAAUAGUUCGUAUUCUGUUCUCUUUUUUACUACUUAAUUAAAUCAAAUGGCAGAAUCUUUAUCUUACCAAAUCACUGCACAAUUGUAGUUUCAGCUCUUAUUGAAUGUGCUUUCUGAUUACCAGUGAUUAUCUUUGUGCUGAUGAAUGUUGAUACUUAAACUAUGUCUUCCUCUUGCUGGUAAGGGGAGAGAGAUUUAUAAGUGCAAGUAAAAUCCAGAAAGGUAAUGGUAACCAGUACAAGAAAUAGUUGGGCUUAAUAAAAGGAACAUUGAAAGAGGAAGAAAUUUUUUUUUUUUUUUGGACUAAGGAGUGUUAAAAAAAUGAAAAGAGAUUUGGUGUGAUUAUGGGAAACAGAAGUUGCUAUUGUCAAUUACUGUUACAUGUUGUCAAAUUUUUCUUCCAUUUUCUUUUAACACCUUUGUAAAAGAGCAUGCUCUUCUCUCAUGUGUCAUACUUGAGGUAAAAUUUUCUUACUCAGUUAGUUUUAUUGCAGAAUGUUUUCACAUAGGCUUAAUAUUUUUUAAGAUGAUCUCAUCUCUGUAUCAUAUCAAAUUUCAUCUUUCGGCUUUGCUUUUUAGAAAACUUGUGUGUCCAGUUAUGCUGAAAUAUUUCAUUUCAUUCAAAGUAUUUUGGUGUCAGUAUUCAUUCUAGUUCAUUUAUAGUGACAGUUUUUACAAACUUUUGUAUUCAAGUGAAAAUUUGCAAAACCAAAAGAUUUUAGCUUUAUUUUUGUAUAGAAACUGUCCUCAUACCCAGUGCCUCGCUAUGCACUGACUUCAAAGCUAUAGUUGAGAUACAUAAUUUACUAGCUAGAAUUAGUAACUUAAAUUCCAGAUUAUGCUAAGUGCCACAGCUGGUGGUUUGAAGACAGUACUGAUCCUUGUUAAAACAUAUCAGCAAAUGAGACCCUAACAGGAAAGCUAGAGGGAAUUUAUGCAAUCUGCAUAGUUGGCAAUUAUUUUCAGGAAGGAGACUUAUCAGUUACUGAUGUGCUUUGAAUUGGCUACCUAUGCCUAAUGAGCAUGUGUCAGACUUAAAAUUCCUUUUCUCAGUAUGUGCACCAUUGCUGUAAUUGUGAUUACUAUUAUGUACUGUACAAAAUAGUGUACUCCCUCAAAUUAGGUCUAAUCUAUUAUGCUUUACUGCUAAAAGAGAGGAAAAAAAUGUGGGGACUGAGAUAGAAUAUUCUGUAACAGACUUGUAUUUCUCCCAUACUUUUCUUGCUUCUCUCAAGUGACACAAUUUUGGUUUAGUGUGGCAAUUCAGAGGCUUGAUCUUUGAGCAGCCAAAAUAAGAUUUUUUUUUUUUUUUUUUGCAUGAUUGCAUUUCUUUUGCCGUUGUUUAACAAAGACAGAAUCUGCUUACAUUGCUCAAAAAUUCAGUUACAUAAUUUCUGUCAUUUAUGCAGUAGAAAAACUUAUGUCAUCAAGGUACGCUAGACAUCAAAUUUUUUUUUGCAAAAAAAACGAAAGCCAUAUUUCAUUGCAAAUAGUGUGGUCACAGCGGUGGUAUUCUUGUGAGUUUUCAGAGCAAGUUUUCCUUUUUCCAGGCUUAGUUCUUGAGAAUGUUACUCAAACCCUUCCUCAUUCCUUUAACUGAUGUCAAUGUACCCAGUCACAGCAGUAGCUGGCACCACAGGCUACGAAUGCCUACACUCCCAGUCUGACUCAAGUAGCUAACACUCAGUCCACUCAUAUGGACCCCAGUAGCUGACACUCUGGUUUUGUUGAUCUCUUUCACAUCCACAACUUAUGGCUCCUCCAGCUACUAAUUCUAGGACCCUUGCUCAGUCCAGUAGUUGUCACCAGAGGCCAGACUACUCCCCUAGUCUGAUACCUAUACCUGAAGUCACUUGCGCACAUACAGGUCUUACUGGUACCUGGCACAUAGUCCUUGUGGCACACACACACACAGCAUAGAAGGUGAGAUUAUGCAGGAAAGAUUUCAGGAAAUCAAGGAAAGAUUUAAUAAGAAGAUAUGAUGAUAUGUGAUGAUGAGUCACAGGUCUGACUAGAAUACUGAUCAGCUCUGUUUCAUACAUUGUCAGCCCCUUUUAUCCUCUCUUUUUUUAAAUUGCCUUUAUUCUUUCAACUUACCAGUGGAAAAUGCAGAUCUUCCUUUAAGUGGUGCUUGUAGUUUCUAGAUAGCCCAUCAGUUUGCAUGAUUAACAAGUUUUUUUUUUCUUGUCAUUGUCUCCACAUUUGCUUUGCUAGGUCUGUAUCUCUGUAUACUUUGUUUCUGGUUUCCCCAUUUUUCCUUUAGUUUCCUAACUGACAGGAUCAGAUAACCUUACUGGAACAAACAUUCUAACACUUGUACAUGCCCUUGUCCAUAAUACUGAUAAAGUUUGUUCUCAUCACUGCUUCCCUUACCAUGUCAGCCAGGAUGGUAUUCCUGUAUGUUCUUGUUUGCUUGUGGCUUCUUCUCUACCGUAUUACCUUACACCCUUUUGUACUGGAAAAGCUCCUUGACCAGAUAUGCUUAAAGGCAUGGGCACUCUGCUUCUACAUGCCCUUACAGAUAAUUGUGCUACAUAAUUUCUUAGUUGGAGAGGUCAGAUUUUGUUAUUAUGGUAAGAAGGCACACAGUAAGUAUAUUUUCACCCAGUUUUCAUCCUGAUUCCUGAACAAGAGACAGCUAAGAUGAACACAAAGAUAGAUAGCUUGCAAUUUCUUUUGAAAGAAUAUUUUAGUUUUAUAGAGCCUGCUUGGAUGUAUGGAAAUAGGAUACUAUUUUGUGUGUGGUGGAAUAAACAAGAAAGAAUAUGCACCACAAUGAAGAGAGAGUGUACAUUGGGAAAAGGAUUAUCUGAUGCAGUAUUCAAAGAAAAUAAACUUAGCUUAUUCAGACUUUCAUCAGUUCCAUGGAAUGAGUUUCUCUUCCUUGUUUGCUUUGAGUUGUUAUGCGUUCGACAUUGUGCCAUGUUAAGGACAGUAAACCAGUUUGCAGAUGUGUUAUGAAGCUAUGUUUGUUUGGUUUUUGGUUUUUUUUUUUUUCCUUUAAGAAUAAUCAAACACCAGAACAUGUUGUUUGGAGAUGUUAUGUAGAAUUUUCUUGGAAAUUUUAAAAAUCCAAUUGAACAAGGCCCUAAACAACCUGCUGUGUCCAACCUUGCUUUGAACAAUAGGUUGUAACAGAUGACAGAUUUGUCUCAAGAUUAAAGCUAAUUUUUAAAUAAUUUGACAUAUGUAUUUAAUGCAGUAUUCCACAAUCAUAUUUAUACUAGUGCAGGUCCUGUUAGCAUGAUGUCAAACAUAGAUUUCCUUUACUUUGGCAAGUAAGAUUUUGAGAGCAGGUCAAACUGGAAGACCUCCAGUUUCUUGGAUGUCAAUAUGCUUUUAUAGCAAAUUUAUAGAUUUCUUGCACUGUGUUUAUGACUCCGGCCGGUUUCAGUGACUUUUCUACUGAUCUCUCGGCAUAAAAAAAGGAAAAUGCUGAAAUAAUUUUGAAUGUUAAUGAGUUCGCUCAGGUGGUACAAUUUCAUAGCUCAUUAAAAGCAUCAGCAUAGAAAUCACAAAUAGACCUGUUGCCAUCAGCCUAAAUGUAGAAGAAAUCUACCCUUUCCUUCCCAGCAGUAUGAUGGCUCUCUUGACUGAAGUAAAUACCCAUCACCACAAAUAAACUGUGAAGUACAGCUUGUUUUAUUUCAA